UUUUUUUUCUAUGUUUUUUUCUUUCUUUUCUUCAUCCGACUUUUCUCUUCUCCUUAUAAUCAAUGUCCAGCCCAUUAGGAGCCCUCUGUUUCCUUUUGCAUCGGCCGGAUUGUAAGCUUGGAGACUGUGCGUUUUGAAGGAAAUGGUGAAGAGGCGACUCAGAGAGAAAACUGCAGGGUUUUAGAGAGCCCUAGGAGCAGAAGCAGAAGCAACAGGUAGGCAACAGCGAAGUAGGAAAGCAUGAGGCUCAUUCUAUCAAUCACUGGGUAGCGUAAUUCACUGCUGCGAGAGGUGGGACGGCGAUACUUCAGUGCGGUUUCAACAAAGGAAUACGCAAGGAGGAACUACGCAAGCAAUGUCUCUGAGUAUAACACUGUUAUUGGUUCUCUCACCGCGCAGAGAAGGCAUUUCUUGCUGAGAGAUGUGUAUGAUGAUAUGAUGCUGGAUGGAGUACCCCAGAUGAUGUUCUAUCUACUUUAAGACGACAUUCUUCAAUUUCUCAACAUCGAAAAUCUCUGGAUUCUAAUUUUCCAAGGAAGAACAGAGGAUCAAGAUGGAAUAAGGAAGAUUUUAGUCAUUCUAAUGCUUUGGACCAUAAAGAUAGUGGUGCGAAAGGUGUUCAAGACUUGUGGAACAAAAAAUCAAGGUCUACAGGUCCACCAGAACAGAAGGUGAGAUUUUUUUCAUCAUAUUUUUGUCCUGUUUAAUAUGCAUCUUAUCGAUCUGUGCAUUCUUCAAAACAUAAGAUGAAAUUAUUAUGUUAUUAGUAAUGAUUUUCUUCUGUAUCAGUACUAGAUGCUGUAAAAUCGAACAUGUAAAAAGAUGUUUCUGAUAGGUGCUUGCCACAUGCCAGUCACAUUUACUAUGAGGAAGCAUUGACCACGUUACAAA